AUCACUGGGGUAAAUGUGAUCUCCGUAACUGCAGUUACGUAUAUCCAAAGAUGGCGGACGAUGUUUCUGGUCAAUAUUUCUUGUCAAUUUUGUAAUAAUAAGUAUUAUUCUUCAAUAUUUCGUGUCUUUUAUAACGUAUUACAAUAUUUGAAACUGAAAUACUAAGUGUUUAAUUCAUAAUUCAACCGCUAAAUGGAGAAAACAGCUAUUUAAAAUAUCGUCAUGAUAUGGUUAACUGAAGUUAAUAAAUUUUUAAUGAUAUACGUAACUGGAAAUAUUGAUAUCCGUAACUGAUUUUAUUUUUGAAUAAUUCAAUCAUGUUUGAAAUGAAAUACAUUUCUCCGGUUAUUAAAAGUGUAGUAAAUGUGAAUCAGAAAUGAUCUUCGAAGUUCGAAGUCUUAAAUUAUUAUGGAAAAAAUUGAUCAGGCUUCCAAUUCUGAAUUUCUAUAUUGUCAGCAGGAUGCAUGCAUAGUGAGGUAAAGGAUUUGAUAGCUUAUUAUAGAUGAAAUAUAAGUAAAAUUGAGAACGGACAGUACUUAAGCAAAUGAAAAAAAAAAAAUCUCAAAAACACCGAACGAAUUGAUAACAACUGUCAUAUUCUUAAUUUGGCAGAAGCAUUUCCUUAAGUAGAAAAUGGUAGAGUAUAAGCUGGUUGUAUAACUAACUAAGCCCCUAACUUGUAUGAUAGUCACAUAGGAUUCCAUUAUAUUUACAAUAAUACAAAGCAAACUGACAUGAUAGGUCAGAAAUCAAAAAUUUGGGAACAAUGUAUCUAAUUCAAUAUAAUUUUAAAAUUCAUCACACUAUUUACAACUAUUUUAACAGAGAAACACAAAACGGCAUAUACGCACGUUAAAGAUAGAGUUCAUAGAACAAAUUUGAAGGCAAGAGUACAAAAUGACCAUAGCAACGUAGUACAAUGGCUGUAUGUAUAAAUACUGAGCCACCCCAAAACAUAAUCAAACAGUACUAUAGAGUUAAGGUUAACAAUAAACAUUUGGACAACACAAAAUAGCACAAAAUCACGUACAUCAGAUGAUAAACAAGUACAUAAACACCAUAUUUAAAGUUCCCCAAGAGUGACUGGGGUUGGAAAAAUGGUCUCCAUUGGUCUACUUCCCCUUAAAUUAUUAAGUGUUGCGUCAGUUUUGCUGUCCGGGAUGCGCAAGUACGCAUUCACGUUUGGUUAGAAUGGGGACAUUAAUUCAGAUGCCACAUGUUGAGAGAAUUCUGUGCUCUUUGUAGCUUGGUUUAUAACCCUUGUAACAAAUCUUUGAGGGGUCCAUAAAUGGCCAGUGGCAAAAGCAGACUCCCGUCCCUAUCCAAUCUGCCAUACCCGUGGUAGUCCAAAUUUCUUCUACCUUCAUCCAGAACGUCCUCUGAUGCAAGACUUACCUACUGUAUCUAUAUUUUUUUCUCUUCCUGAACAUAUAUUAAAAAGAAAAUGUGGUACCAGUGUAAUUGAGACACAAGAGACCAACUGACACAGAAAUUAAUAUUAUUGGUCACCAUACGACAUUUAACAUUGUCAAUGACCAUAUAUACCGCAUAGUAGUAUGCUAUAAAAGGCCCAGAAAGGACAAAUGUAACACAAUUCAAACAAGUCAACUAAUGGCCUAGGCCUUAUUUUGGGGCCAUUUUUUUUUU
rnacentral:lncRNA from 1 species